AUACUUUGCGAAUCAAAGAUGGUGGCUUGCAUAACAACGAUCGUGUCAAAUUGUAUUUUCUUAUACAUUUCUUGCGUAAUUGAUCCAAAAGCUGUCUUAAACGCAUGUCUCCAACACGACUGCGUUAUAAAGGUAACGUUACCGUUAGGCUUUCCUAACUGAGGACCUGGCUGCUGGGUAAUGUUGACAGUUUAAUUUGUAUACCAUCCUUUAUUUUAACGCGUAGGCCUACCAUUAAUUGUGUUGGUUGGCUAAGCCACACUUCCAUUGCAAAGUGCACAGCUUUCUGCACCAGCCUGAAUAAUUCUAGUUAUGUAGGGUGUCAAAUCCGAUCCAAAAGUCGAACGAGCACUAGAUGGGGCGCGCGAGCUAGAUUAAAUAUUGCUCGAGAAGAAAUGUGGUCGAGCGAGCAGAGGACGGGUUCAGGGAGCGUAGACCGGUGUGGUGCGCACAUAUUACAGUUGAGAGUUUACGAGUGAGUGAGCAGAACUUCAUUCCCGUACGUAUUAAAUUAAAUCGAGUUUUUUUUUUUUGAUAACCUGAAGAAAUAUUUUCUACAUAUCGAGAUUCAGAAAUUACUGCACUCACAAAUACGGGGGACUACCAACUAAUUUUAUGCCUUAAUUAAACAACUCUGCACAUAUGUAUCGCUCCACCUUCCUCAAUCUCCAUUGUCAUACUUUUGUUUACCUUUUUACCAAUGUCUAUGGAUUGUACAAGGAUUUUAAUUUGGGAGUUAAUGGUAUGGCACCACACUCAAGUCAUGUAUGCUUAAACAUACUUGUAUGCUCAUUUAUUUGUUUCUUAAAGUGACAAUCAGCAGUUAAAACAAAGCGUUCUUGCACCUGUUUAGUAAAAAGCUGAGGGAUGGGGCUGGGGACAUGUAACCGCUCUCAAAUUCAUAGACCGUGUUAUGGAUGCAAGGACUGACCAUCCGCCGCCUCCUUAAACCCCCAUAAGAGAUGACCCAAAGUUCCUUGCCUAAGACCUCCAAUGAGUUUUGAAAAGGAAGUGAAGAGUUGAGCAAAGAUACAUUGGGACAGGGCUUAUGUCAAAUGAUACAAUUCUGUUCUAAAUGACCGAGUCCAUCCUCACCACCUCCAUCACUGCAACGGAUUGUCUGGUCUGCUGAGAGGGUCAUUGGUUGUCCUGCACGAAUCGAAGGCAAAGAAGUAUGCUGGGAAGUUCAUUGCCGACCCCUUUCACCCCCUCUUCCAAAUAUUCCCCUCUGGCAAAACCUCCUGCCACAGAACAGUUUCUUCCCCUUUGUCAUUGGCCCUCACCAACCUUCCACCUGGUCCUCUCAUCCAUGGACUUUGCACCUUACACUCCUAUUAUAUGCAUCAUUUAGCAUAUGUUUACAUUUUAGCCAUUUAGCUGACACUCACAUCCAGAGCGACAUACAGGUAGCAAAUAGGGUAAAGUGCCUCGCCAAAGUGCACAUCGACAGAUUUUUCACAGUCUGCUCGAGAUUUGAACCAGCGACCUGGAAGAACAGCCCAAUGCUCUUAACCUGUAGGCUACCUGCAGUUUAAAGUGUACAUACUGUAUGUGGAUAUUUUCUUUUUGUUUGUAUAUUCUGUUUGUGGCAGCACCAUUUCAGUAAAGUUCCUGAACAUGCAAAUGUAUUUGUUGAAUAAAGCUGAUUCAGUUUA